AGUAUUGUUAGCGAGGCAGAAAGGAAAAUUUAAGUCUGUGUGCUAUGUUAGCAAAAGGAAUUGUAGAAGUGAAGGGAGAACAAAUCUUUAUUGAGGGAAGAAAGUGAUAGGAAAAUCCACUUGAUCCUAUACAGGGAUUGAUUAAACUAUUGGAGCGCACACAGUACUUGAUCAAGAGAUGCAGAGAGAUUCUCCGGCUGGAUCCAUGGAAUUUAACCAACAUGUAGAAAUCUGGAGGGGAGCUAACUCCAGGAAGAAGACAAAUGGAUGACUCAGGGGUUGCUUGCCUGAAUUACAAACAAGAUAGAAAUGUGCAUGCAAUCUUGGGAGUUCAGGAGAACCAAAGAUUCCACUGGCAGAAAGAAUUGAAAGACUGUAAUACCAGUGACCACCAAAAUGAGAACAGUUUUGGCGGCUUCUCCUUUGGGAAUGAGAACAUACCAAAAACAAACUGACAAGAAAUAAGUCACCAGAAGAAGGCAAAUUUCAGGGAAUGUGAUACUUCAAAACAGAGAAAGGUGCUGAUUUUACACUAUCUAUAAAAAUAGCAGUCAGCCCAUUAGUAAAUCCAUUACGUAGCGAAUUGGUCUAGAAAUGGAGGACUUCAAAUUCUUGUGCUGAGGAUCCUAAUCCCAGAAUUUGAAAUCCUCCACUGAUAGAUUGAACUCACUCAAGAACUUAAACCCAAAGGUGUGUCUGAUUCUUUUAGCCAAUCACAAGAUGGUUCUUGUGUCUUGG
rnacentral:lncRNA from 1 species